rnacentral:lncRNA from 1 species
UUGUGAGGCUGAUUGCAUUCAGAAGAGCUUGUCAAGGAGGAGAAGGGCAGUGACUGCAAAGGGAAGCUAUUCUGCCAGCCUCCUCUCAGCUUCUGUCCCUUGCCGCCUGACGGCCCGCACGCUGUUAGCGAGGAGCUGAAUCAAUGUGCCGACGCCAGCAACGGCCGCGGCAAGUCUACUUAUAUCACUGCCAUUUGCACCAGCAGCAUCCAGCACCACGACCGACACCUUGCAGCCACGCACAGGCCCGCUGCAUGCUCGUGCUUCGCUCCUGGUCCCGGCCGGAGGACCGUUGGGUCCAGUUCUCGCCGCCUCUCGCCUCAGUCUUGGUGUGAUGACUGCUCACUCACCGCUGCCAAGUCUUCGCGUGCAAGGAGACCUUUGACACUUGUGACGUGUGCAAGGUUUGUCCUCUUUGGUGGCCACGGAUUGCGAUUAUUGGAUGCCUGAGCUCUUCACGCAAGCGCUUGCUUCAAUAAUGUUAAGUCCGAGUGUUUUUCUAGUGGGUUGAUUGGAGAAGCACACAAUUCUCUUUCUCAUUCGUCUGCAUUACUGGAUGGGAGAAUUGUACACAUUUGAUUGUAUUUUAAAAAAAUUUCCCCCCAACCUACUUCCCCACCAUCUCACUCGCUUUCCCUUUGUGCAACGGUCUGUCGUCUGGUGUCUCGUAACAAUGAACUAAUCGAUGUCGGAUUCUCCAACUUGUUACAGAAAGAGUCUCUCUGUUAUUAAUCGAACUGGGUUAUUUGUGUUUACUUGCGACAUCUCCUCAAAAGAGUUUUUUUUUUCCUUCUCAUCCGCAAGGUUGUUCCUGUUAAACCGAUCGAAAAAAAUGGACUAUAAUACGAUUGUAGAAAGAGAAGACGCUGGGUCUGUUACGGAGGAACAUCUGCUUCUGAAUCCCGAAAAAACCUUUUCAGCAUUCACGGUUGUAGGGCAGUGGGUGAGCAACAGAGGUACUGUUUACAGACAAGGGAAACCACAGCACCGAUUGUUGAUGUAAAAAUACACUGAUACAAUCUUGGCGACUCACGGGUAUGCACUGACAUCUCGGGUGCGUCUACAGUGAGGACAGAGAUCAUUCGUCUAAUAAAAAGUUAUUUGAAGAAACUGAUUCACCCAUCGUUCAUCUCGGAAAUUUCUGCUUCAGGUUUAUUUUUAAUUAACCUUGUCACCGUCUUCAGCAGCAAUUUUGAUGAUUUCUGUUGCCGGUGGAUUUCAUUCAUCCCAUGAACUGACUUCAGGACCAAAAGACAUCUCCGUGACCAUGUUACCCUUUGUUAACCUCUGAAUUUCGAGAAGCGUAAGAUUGCAAAAGCUUCUAGGCAAAGACUGCUUCAAGGAGGAAUUUUUGUACCUUCAAGGGUCCUGCGUUUCGCGGAAGCAAUUUGUUGUAAAGGGUAAUUAACUGACAGAGACAUCCAGCUGGUGUUCGUACGGCCACAGAGCAGAGUCACGCCAGCGAUUUAAUCUUGGACCGGAAAGGAACCUUCUUGUUCGUCUGGAUGUGAACACAGUAGCAACACGUUUGUUGUCAACACAUUUGCAACAUGUUUGCUGUGAUACUGUCUCGACUGUGACGUUCUCGUAACAACGUUCUUGUAUGCCCUUGACGUCACAGCUGUGGUUUACGUGACAGACAUCGAUUGCCACAUUCUUGGAGGGAGAGAGAUAGUGGGAGGAGACAAACUAAAUAAACAACUAUGCCUGCGGAUAAUUGGUUUGUCCGACUGGAGCUGUGAACCGUGAUUGUCCUACCGUUGGCCCUCGUUGUGGGAGGGUGCAACUGCUGCUUGUGUGGUCGAGUGUCAAUCCGCGGAUUUUCAUGAGUGUGAAAAGCUCUGAUCGAUCUCUGGAUUGUCAGAGACUGAGCAGCCAAGCCGGCAUUUUCUACCUUCGCUUGUUCGCAUGCACGUGCGAGCACGGGCUCAUUGGCUUCUACCUGUGUUUUUGGAAAAUCUCGUGGAUGUUGAUUCCCAGAUGCGGUGGCCACACGUCUGACCAGUGGACACAAGGUUGAACAUCCGGCUCCCACAAUCCAGUAGCAGACUACAGGCAUCGGCGCUUGUUAUUCCAAACGUGAAUUAUAAACACUUGGAUAAAGUAGUGUGACCCUGUGCCUCCCUCACCUAACUCCAGCGCCAAAAGGACGAAAGACUCCGGUUUUUCGCACUACUUGAGUUACCUCCCCCUCGUUCGAACAUGGCUGCUUCGUCAGUUUUACCUUUUAUCGCUGCUGCCUCCUCAGCCAAGCAUUUGCUUUGCCAUCCGUUCCCUCUCCCUGUCUCCCUGCCAUAUCUGUCCAAGUCUCCACCCCGAUCUCCCACCCCCACCCUCGCAACGCUGACGCCAUGGCCAUCCAGCCUGACGACGUCCCUGCUUUGAAUGACGCUGCUGACGUCACAGGCUGGCGUUGGCUGUGAUUGGUCAUUGCUGUCAAGGCCUCGACGUUUAUUCAAAUAACCUGUGGCAAACUGUGUGUGUGUGGGUAUCGGGGCGAGCGUGGAGCACUCAAUGCGUUGGAGAGUGUGUGUAUGUGUGGAGGGGAAUUCUUCUCCAGCGUCACGCAGGGACUACGAACGCCGACGAUUCAAGAUAUGCAUUAGUCUUCCCGGCACCGGCGACACGGCCAUCGCGAGUACCUACGAGUUGGCGUCGGGGAUUCUUCGGACGCAGUCGGGAUCCACUUCGGCUGGAGCCGUAAGCCUUCGGUAGUUUCCGUGGAGCUCAGCGUCUGCCGUUUUCUCACGGCACUUGUGAGUCGGCAGAGGUGACAUCCACUGCAGGGGAAGGUGUGCCGUGGUGGAGACAGUCCUGUGUUUGGUGUCGGCAGGCACUGGGCAGCGACGUGAGUGAGUCGACAGACAGAGAGAAGUUUGGAUGCUUGGUUGCUCCUCAUUCGACAGAGCAUGCGAUCACGCCCCCGCGAGAUGAUGGCCAAUCUCGAUCUCUCCCCUUCUGAAGAGCUCCCUCCGGACAACGCCAAAUGGGAGCAGCACUCGCCCCACCGACACGGUAGCGACUACGCCAGCAGCAUGCGCGGCAAACGUGGCCACUCCAAACGUGGGGAUAACCCGUCCUCGCCC